AGGCGCAGCAGCCGAAACCUGUGGCUCUGCAAAACAGGGGUAACAACUGGGCGUGAGUACUAUAAAAACAAGUAGUCCUCAGUGGGUGCCGCCCAAAACAACAUCAGUCCACCCACUAAGUCUACAGAAGGGAGCAAGAAUAGUAGUAAAUGCAGGAAUAAAGUCUACCGUUAUCAAACACUACACUAUCAUGCUCUCUAACCAACUGUAAAAAUGUCCAAUCUGACCCAAUCCAAUCGGGACUGUAAGCAUACCCGUCCCCGGGACUCUGAAUACACCCGUCCCUGCCCUGUUGCGACUAUCGGGCUCUAUCCACACUAACUGGUCCGUGGAGAGCAAGUCCAACUGGCAUGAGCGACACCAACGCGAAAGCACAAAGCCUGACUCCGGAGUGGCACUCGUGGGCGCUACCCAACCGAGUAUGCAGCGUAUCUCUGUCGAGCUCAAACAGGCUCUGAAAAGCCAAAGUUAAGUAACCAACUCAAACUGGUCUACCCACCAACAGGUAAUGUGCCCUCGGCACAAUCUGACGCCAAAAAGGCGAUAUGGGUCCACCGUCAACUCUGACGGCACCCACCAGUCUGGAACAACCUGACCGAUCCUGUAAAAAUUCACUCGGCGCACCAGCACGAGCGUAAAUGUAAUCUAAACUACCUGGAGUACUCGUUUCGAAGAUACUGCGACAGUACAAUUUAAUAACGGCUCCUAGAGCUAAAUCAGGCAGUUUAAACAAGUGACAGGUCCAAAUCGCAGGUUUUCUCCUAAUUCAAUUUCCAAGUCCAACAUGUAUAACCUACUUAAUUUAUUACCACAUGCUCCAAAUUCAGAUUUGCAAUCUACAAUAUAAUUCAUGAAUUCGAGCUAGAAUAGAGUAUCCAAAGGUCGAAAAUUAUACAUGCCGACGAAUAUGAACUUAGGAGUAAAAACCGAUGUAACCCACCUCUCAAGCAACUCCUGGCAGUGAAGAAAGCGUUAAAUCCGACCAAGCUAACCUUAUCCAAAUUCAGCAAACAAGGGUCCUGAAGCUUCGUCUCGAAGUCAUGAAUCCAAUGGCCCAGCUUUCGCUGAAUUCCGACACUCCUACGCAGAGAACGGGCCAGAAUACGAAACGUCGACGCUGGAACCUGCGAAACAGCAUCUCUGAAAUCUGCUCGGCAAACAGCAGCCUAGUAAAACUAGGGUUCGACAGGGCAAACCUGCUCCAAAAAUCGCGAUCUUGGGCUCAGAAUCUUCGUCUCGAAGUCUCGGUUCCAACGAAUCAAAUCUCGUCGAAAUCCGAUGCUCAUACGUCGCGUACGAACUGAAAUACUAACAGUCGACGACAAGAUCCUGCGAAUCAGCACUUAAGCUCGAAUUGAAUGAAGCUUGAAGUAGAGAAGAAAUCCAUGGAGGAAUGAGAGAUUACCCACCUCAACCAGCGACUCCAAUUCCGGCACGGCGUCGAGAACGACGAAAACACU
rnacentral:lncRNA from 1 species